AGGUCCUCUACCUGGUGAAACUCGACUUCCAGGACAAGGUGGAGGCGAAGGAUUUCUACACAGUACAACCCAAGGUGGUUAUCGGUGGUCGUUGGAGGUGGUCGGAGGUGGACGAGGAGGAGGACGAGGACGACUAGGAGAAGAAGGUGGCUGAGGAUUUGUGCUCGGUAUAACCCGAGGUGGUUGGCGGUGGUCGAGCUG